ACCCUUAACUCGGAUAAAUGUUUUACAGUUGGAAUAAAGGGGCAACCGAAACAGAAGUGUACUGUGGUCAUCCCAGAGACCUUCCGUAUCGGUUCGCGCUCGUGUCCUGCAUUGAAGCGCACAGACGAGUGGAAGUAUUUAGGCAUAACAUUCACUGCACAAGGGAGGACCAGGUACAGUCCAGCCGACGACCUAGGUCCGAAGCUGUUGAGGCUGACAAGGUCCCCCCUAAAACCACAACAGAAAUUGUUCGCACUCAGAACAGUUCUUAUCCCACAACUUUACCAUAAGCUGACCCUAGGUAGUGUGAUGAUAGGUGUUCUGAGAAAGUGUGACAUACUGGUACGUUCGACCGUAAGGAAGUGGUUAGGGCUUCCUCUGGACGUGUCAACUGCAUUCUUCCAUGCUCCUCAUACUUAUGGGGGCCUCGGAAUCCCUUCAGUUCGUUGGGUAGCGCCAAUGCUACGUAUGAAAAGAUUGAGCAAUAUUAAGUGGGCCCACCUCGCGCAAUCCGAGGCGGCCAGCUCAUUUCUUACCGACGAAUUGAAUAAGGCCCGGGGUAGAACUCUGGCUGGACUGAAUGAGUUGACAUCGCGUACAGAGAUCGAAACGUACUGGGCGAACAGGUUGUAUAUGUCUGUUGAUGGUCGCGGCUUACGUGAAGCGGGACUUUUUCGUCCCCAACACGGCUGGGUGUGUCAGCCCACGCGUUUGCUAACAGGUCAAGAUUACCGAAACAGUAUCAAGCUGCGAAUAAAUGCCCUACCAUCGAGGUCUCGUACCACGAGGGGCAGAAAUGAAUUGGAACGGCAAUGUCGUGCAGGUUGUGAUGCUCCCGAAACAACAAACCACAUCCUGCAGAAUUGUUACCGUACGCAUGGGAGGCGGGUAGCAAGACAUAACUGUGUAGUCAAUAACCUUAAGAGGAUUCUUGAGGAGAAGGGCCACACAGUACACGUCGAACCAAGUUUGCAGCUGGAAACCUCGGUAAGUAAACCAGACCUGGUGUGUAUCCGUGACAAUCACGCUUGCGUGAUUGAUGCGCAGAUUAUAACGGAUGGACUGUUUCUCGACGAUGUGCACCAUCGCAAAGUUGAGAAAUAUAAAAGACCGGAAGUUAUAUCUGCACUGCGGAGAGAAUUCGGAGUGUCGGGCAACGUCGAAGUCCUAUCCGCGACGUUAAACUGGCGUGGGAUCUGGAGCAAUCAAUCCGUUAGAAGAUUGAUAGCAAAGGGUCUCAUCUCAUCCGGUGACAGCAAUGUCAUUAGCGCCAGAGUGGUAACAGGCGGACUAUAUUGCUUCAGACAGUUCAUGUAUCUCGCAGGUUACACUCGAGAUUGGACUUAGCCUAUACACUAUGUUGGAGAGAAGACGCUUGCUACCUAGGCAAAAUGUGAAAUUAGGUAUAAACAUCGUGGUUGUAAAACUUGAGGUGGGUUUUUAGUACGUAUGCGUGAUUACUUCGUAAUCAUGAAUCGUGCAUGCUAGUGGGGUUUGGCCUCCACUAGUAUCUUUGAAGAUUUUCCUUCCUCAGCGAUCAAAAAAAAAAAAAAAAAAAAAAAAAAAAAAUAGCCAAAUGCCUCGUCAUCUAAUUAGUGACGCGCAUGAAUGGAUUAACGAGAUUCCUACUGUCCCUAUCUACUAUCUAGCGAAACCACAGCCAAGGGAACGGGCUUGGAAUAAUUAGCGGGGAAAGAAGACCCUUUUGAGCUUGACUCUAAUCUGGCAGUGUAAGGAGACAUAAGAGGUGUAGCAUAAGUGGGAGAUAUUAGAUUUCGGUUUGGUAUCGACAAUGAAAUACCACUACUCUUAUUGUUUCCUUACUUACUUGAUUAAAUGGAACGUGUAUCAUUUCCUAGCCAUUAUACGGAUAUAUUUAUUAUAUCUUAUGGUAUUGGGUUUUGAUGCAAGCUUCUUGAUCAAAGUAUCACGAGUUUGUUAUAUAAUCGCAAACAAAUUCUUUAAUGAGAAAAUGCAUUUAUGUAUUUUCAAUUUGAAAAUUUGGUAUAACUCCAAUUACUCAGGUAUGAUCCAAUUCAAGGACAUUGCCAGGUAGGGAGUUUGACUGGGGCGGUACAUCUCUCAAAUAAUAACGGAGGUGUCCCAAGGCCAGCUCAGUGCGGACAGAAACCACACAUAGAGCAAAAGGGCAAAUGCUGACUUGAUCUCGGUGUUCAGUACACACAGGGACAGCAAAAGCUCGGCCUAUCGAUCCUUUUGGUUUAAAGAGUUUUUAACAAGAGGUGUCAGAAAAGUUACCAUAGGGAUAACUGGCUUGUGGCGGCCAAGCGUUCAUAGCGACGUCGCUUUUUGAUCCUUCGAUGUCGGCUCUUCCUAUCAUUGUGAAGCAAAAUUCACCAAGCGUUGGAUUGUUCACCCAUGCAAGGGAACGUGAGCUGGGUUUAGACCGUCGUGAGACAGGUUAGUUUUACCCUACUAAUGACAAAACGUUGUUGCGACAGCAUUCCUGCGUAGUACGAGAGGAACCGCAGGUACGGACCAAUGGCACAAUACUUGUUCGAGCGAACAGUGGUAUGACGCUACGUCCGUUGGAUUAUGCCUGAACGCCUCUAAGGUCGUAUCCGUGCUGGACUGCAAUGAUAAAUAAGGGGCAAUUUGCAUUGU
rnacentral:rRNA from 1 species